rnacentral:rRNA from 1 species
AUUGAACGCUGGCGGCAGGCCUAACACAUGCAAGUCGAGCGAGCGGCGGACGGGUGAGUAAUGUCUGGGAAACUGCCUGAUGGAUGGGGAUAACUACUGGAAACGGUAGCUAAUACCGCAUACCAUCAGAUGUGCCCAGAUGGGAUUAGCUAGUGGGUGGGGUAACGGCCCACCGAGGCGACUCUCCCUCGCUGGUCUGAGAGGAUGACCAGCAAAACUGGAACUGAGACACGGUCCAGACUCCUACGGGAUGAAGCAGUGGGGAAUAUUGCACAGUGGGCGCAAGCCUGAUGCAGCCAUGCCGCGGGUGUGAAGAAGGCCUUCGGGUUGUAAAGCACUUUCAGCAGGGAGGCUUUACCCGCAGAAGAAGAACCGGCUAACUCCGUGCCAGCCGCCGCGGUAAUUC